CCUACGGGGGGCUGCAGUGAGGAAUAUUGGUCAAUGGGCGCAAGCCUGAACCAGCCAUCCCGCGUGCAGGAAGACGGCCCUAUGGGUUGUAAACUGCUUUUCCAGGGGACGAAUAGUUUCUACGUGUAGAGACCUGACGGUACCUUGGGAAUAAGCAUCGGCUAACUCCGUGCCAGCAGCCGCGGUAAUACGGAGGAUGCAAGCGUUAUCCGGAUUCAUGGGGUCGUAAGGGUACUUAUACGGCAGCGGUGAAAUCCUACAGCUUAACUGUAGAACUGCCAUUGAUACUGUUAGUCUUGAGUUUGGUUAAGGUAGGCGGAAUGUGUAAUGUAGCGGUGAAAUGCUUAGAUAUUACACAGAACACCAAUUGCGAAGGCAGCUUACUGGACCGACACUGACGCUGAGGCACGAAAGCGUGGGGAUCGAACAGGAUUAGAUACCCCAGUAGUC
rnacentral:rRNA from 1 species